rnacentral:rRNA from 1 species
UACGAAGGGGGCUAGCGUUGCUCGGAAUCACUGGGCGUAAAGGGUGCGUAGGCGGGUCUUUUAAGUCAGGGGUGAAAUCCUGGAGCUCAACUCCAGAACUGCCUUUGAUACUGAGGAUCUUGAGUUCGGGAGAGGUGAGUGGAACUGCGAGUGUAGAGGUGAAAUUCGUAGAUAUUCGCAAGAACACCAGUGGCGAAGGCGGCUCACUGGCCCGAUACUGUCGCUGAGGCACGAAAGCGUGGGAGCAACA